rnacentral:rRNA from 1 species
UACGUAGGGUGCAAGCGUGUCCGGAAUUAUUGGGCGUAAAGAGCUCGUAGGCGGUUUGUCGCGUCUGCUGUGAAAAUCCAGGGCUUAACCCUGGACCUGCAGUGGGUACGGGCAGACUGGAGUGCGGUAGGGGAGAUCGGAAUUCCUGGUGUAGCGGUGAAAAUGCGCAGAUAUCAGGAGGAACACCGGUGGCGAAGGCGGAUCUCUGGGCCGUAACUGACGCCUGAGGAGCGAAAGCAUGGG